GCAGACACAUUCCAGCCAAUCAGCAGCAGACCCUCCCUCCCAGACCCUCCCGGACAGCUCACUAAGAAUGCAGCUUCACAAUGAAUGUAAAAUGGAUGCUGUCCAGGAGGUGGGAGGGUCUGGGAGGGAGGGUCUGCUGCUGAUUGGCUGGAAUGUGUCUG